AUUGAACGCUGGCGGCAAGCCUAACACAUGCAAGUCGAACGAGUGGCGGACGGGUGAGUAAUGUCUGGGAAACUGCCUGAUGGAGGGGGAUAACUACUGGAAACGGUAGCUAAUACCGCAUACCAUCGGAUGUGCCCAGAUGGGAUUAGCUAGUAGGUGGGGUAAAGGCUCACCUAGGCGAUGAUCCCUAGCUGGUCUGAGAGGAUGACCAGCCACACUGAAACUGAAACACGGUCAAGACUACUACGGGAAGCAGCAGUGGGGAAUGUGGCACAAUGGGCGCAAGCCUGAUGCAGCCAUGCCGCGUGGAUGAAGAAGGCCUUCGGGUUGUAAAGUACUAUCAGCGGGGAGGCGUUACCAGCAGAAGAAGCACCGGCUAACUCCGUGCCAGCAGCCGUAAUUC
rnacentral:rRNA from 1 species